UUCAGGGAGUAACUGCCCGUGAAAUUGAGAGUAUCACAAGAGGAAGAGGCGGCUAACUCUGUGCCAGCAGCCGCGGUAAUACAGAGGCCUCAAGCGUUGUUCGGAAUCACUGGGCGUAAAGGGUGCGUAGGCGGCGCGGAAAGUCAGGGGUGAAAUCCCGGAGCUCAACUCCGGAACUGCCUUUGAUACUCCGCGCUUGAGAACUGGAGGGGAGAUCGGAAUUCACGGUGGAGCAGUGAAAUGCGUGGAUAUCGUGAGGAACACUAGUGGCGAAGGCGGAUCUCUGGACAGUAUCUGACGCUGAGGCACGAAGGCCAGGGGAGCGAACGGGAUUAGAUACCCCGGUAGUCCUGGCAGUAAACGGUGCACGCUUGGUAUGGGGGGAAUCGACCCCUCCCGUGCCGGAGCUAACGCGUUAAGCGUGCCGCCUGGGAAGUACGGUCGCAAGAUUA
rnacentral:rRNA from 1 species